rnacentral:rRNA from 1 species
AAAUUGAAGAGUUUGAUCAUGGCUCAGAUUGAACGCUGGCGGCAGGCCUAACACAUGCAAGUCGAACGGUAACAGGAAGCAGCUUGCUGCUUUGCUGACGAGUGGCGGACGGGUGAGUAAUGUCUGGGAAACUGCCUGAUGGAGGGGGAUAACUACUGGAAACGGUGGCUAAUACCGCAUAACGUCGCAAGACCAAAGAGGGGGACCUUCGGGCCUCUUGCCAUCAGAUGUGCCCAGAUGGGAUUAGCUUGUUGGUGAGGUAACGGCUCACCAAGGCGACGAUCCCUAGCUGGUCUGAGAGGAUGCCAGCCACACUGGAACUGAGACACGGUCCAGACUCCUACGGGAGGCAGCAGUGGGGAAUAUUGCACAAUGGGCGCAAGCCUGAUGCAGCCAUGCCGCGUGUAUGAAGAAGGCCUUCGGGUUGUAAAGUACUUUCAGCGGGGAGGAAGGUGUUG